rnacentral:lncRNA from 1 species
AUCAAAACAACGAAGUACUGCGGCGCACGCUAAGAGGUUAAACGUCCACCCCAUAUCAGCAAGCACGCAUAACUUAUCGCUGAAGAUAAUCGUUGAGCCUCCAUCAAUAGAAUCAUCUGUGAUAUGGUCGAACUGCAUCCCCCAAGGCUGAGCCCCUUCUGAGAUCCAGUAAUCCUAUCGUGACCACGUGCGAAGUCAUCCGUUCCACUGUCGUUCACGACUCUCACCACGGGGAGACAGCAAAUGCUCGAAAGCUCGUGGCCUAACGAAGAGACGGAUGACGAUAAUAGAUGCGCGCAACUCAACGAAAUGGAACAUUGCAGCAAGAAAAGCGUUCGGCUUAUAGCAUUCGGUAACUUGGCGGAACUGCUUAGUGAAUUUGGGGCCUGAAACAAAGCAUCGCCACGAUGG